UGCUCAUCACAGAAGACGACUGUCUGGUGAAAGGCUCAGCCAUAUCAAAGUUCAGUGAUGUUGGGGGACGUUGCUGUUCCAUGUCUGGGGAUCGCAUCAUGAAGGACAUUUUAGCUGACACUUACAAGGGAGAGAACUCUAGGUCUGCACCAAAAGAGAGAACCAGCAUUGAUAUCGAGUUUGACCAGGAACAGCACCAGUCUGCCUGAAGAAUCCCCAGUCCAGGACGAUCCUUGCCUCCCACCCCCCCCGACCCCUAGCUCCUCCACCCUGACCUCUGGCCUCAAAGGGUCAUCAUAGUUGAAUUCAAGCGCUGUACUCAACAACCGCAAUGUCUGUGUCGAGUUUUCAACACUCAAGACUGAGUAGUUUUGUUGAGCUCGAGUGCCAGAGUGGGACAGACACAAUGAGUUAUAGAAGUAGUUAUGGUAACACUAACAGUCAGUUCCUGCCGUAUGACAUCACAACUAAUAUCACGAAGAAUAAAAAGUUGAUUAAUUUGUUCCAUUCUUUAUGGGACAAACAUAAAUUCAGCGAGGAUCGGGGAAAAUCAAGGAAAUUUUAACAAUUGAAGUGAUUAAUUCACAUGAGUAAGCUUUCCAAGCAGAAUACUUUUGCUGUCUAUAGUUUGGACAGUAGUAGAUUUACAAACGCGCUUUUGAUGCUGUUGCUGACAAAGAAAGGCAGUAACUACUUCAUUGUGAACACCCAGGGCACGAUACACCCAUGGGGUUUGCCUAAAAUGUGAAUUCCGCCCAAUAUUGUAAACAAGGUGCUAAAAGUAAACACGUCCGGUUUUGUUACGUGCGCUUUGCACUCCAAGCCCAAAGCACAUAGAAUCAACGCCAGAAAAGGCUUAGAAAAUGACAGCAGUUUCGUUGUGUGAUCCAGUAAGGACUCUGAACGACAUUAAUGAGACCUCAAACUUGACCAUAGCACUCACAGCGAGGCCAUCAUGUUAUCUCAGCUUCUUGAGCUUCAGCAAACAUUAUUAGCCAACAAGAUGAAAACAUCAUUGAAGUGAAAGUCAAAAACAAUCCUGACUACCUUCGGGCACAAAUACUACAACUUGCUGAAGAAAUUCAGCACGAAUAUGUCUUGCGUCAGCCUAGCACGCCUCCUAUUAACUCUUCCAACAGCGGAGCCUUGAGCUAGUUCCUAGCAAUCAUAGAUCGGUACCCUGCUGAAAAACAGGAUCUCUGGUCAGCUGGGCCCAGAUGCCCAGCAACACUUCCUGGCACAGGACCUUGGGGCAAAUGCUCAACAUGUCCUAUCUGCAUGGUGAAGCCAGUCUAAUUCUUGGGCUCCAAACUUUCCUGCUGUGGGGCCGAGAUUACCUCAUCCAUAAGAGGCCUUAUACUCACAAGUUCAGGCCCAGAGAACGAUGUUCCCCAACUACAACACAACCAGUACGUCUCAUUAGAGGACACCCUUCCUGAAAACCUUGCUGGGUGCGACUGCGCCAUAUGUGACCCUUCAGUGAAAUGAGAUUCCAGGCGGAAUGUCAAACCGGUACUACUCCGGUCUCCAGCAAUAGCCUCAGCCUUGGACGCAGCUUAUCGUGUUAAGUGUUUGGCAGUACCAAGCCUAGUCGACGCAGCAGCAAAAACAACAGUAGCAGUCUAAAAACCUGGGUUGCAGAGCAAUGAGUAUGUCCCAUGAGCAUUUGCAGUCAUCGUCUCCAGAUUAUGAGUUUCCCAUGCUACACAACCCUCAGUCUAUGAACAUCAUGCAGAGCGAACCUUGGACGUCCCUUGACGAAAUCAAACCAGCAAAUCAGACGGACAGCCUAUUGCUACCGUUGUUAUCAUAUUAACCCCAUACCGAAGAAGCUCAGAGAUAUAAAUGCUGUUUAAUAUGUGCUAGUCUCAACAUACCCCGUGUCUGGUGUGAACAUGUACAAUUGAAGGUCUCUACAUACCCCAUGUCUGGUGUGAACAUGUACAAUCGAAGGUCUCUACAUACCCCAUGUCUGGUGUGAACAUGUACAAUUGAAGGUCUCUUCAUACCCCAUGUCUGGUGUGAACAUGUACAAUUGAAGGUCUCAACAUACCCCAUGUCUGGUGUGAACAUGUACAAUUGAAGGUCUCUACAAUACUCCAUGUCUGGUGUGAACAUGUACAAUUGAAGGUCUCUACAUACCCCAUGUCUGGUGUGAACAUGUACAAUUGAAGGUCUCUACAUACCCCAUGUCUGGUGUGAACAUGUACAAUUGAAGGUCUCUACAUACCCCAUGUCUGGUGUGAACAUGUACAAUUGAAGGUCUCUACAUACCUCAUGUCUGGUGUGAACAUGUACAAUUGAAGGUCUCUACAUACCUCAUGUCUGGUGUGAACAUGUACAAUUGAAGGUCUCUACAUACCCCAUGUCUGAUGUGAACAUGUACAAUUGAAGGUCUCUACAUACCCCAUGUCUGGUGUGAACAUGUACAAUUGAAGGUCUCUACAUUCCUCAUGUCUGGUGUGAACAUGUACAAUUGAAGGUCUCUACAUACCCCAUGUCUGAUGUGAACAUGUACAAUUGAAGGUCUCUACAUACCCCAUGUCUGGUGUGAACAUGUACAAUUGAAGGUCUCUACAUACUCCAUGUCUGGUGUGAACAUGUACAAUUGAAGGUCUCUACAUACCCCAUGUCUGGUGUGAACAUGUACAAUUGAAGGUCUCUACAUACCCCAUGUCUGGUGUGAACAUGUACAAUUGAAGGUCUCUACAUACUCCAUGUCUGGUGUGAACAUGUACAAUUGAAGGUCUCUACAUACCCCAUGUCUGAUGUGAACAUGUACAAUUGAAGGUCUCUACAUACUCCAUGUCUGGUGUGAACAUGUACAAUUGAAGGUCUCUACAUACUCCAUGUCUGGUGUGAACAUGUACAAUUGAAGGUCUCUACAUACCCCAUGUCUGGUGUGAACAUGUACAAUUGAAGGUCUCUACAUACCCCAUGUCUGAUGUGAACAUGUACAAUUGAAGGUCUCUACAUACCUCAUGUCUGGUGUGAACAUGUACAAUUGAAGGUCUCUACAUACCCCAUGUCUGAUGUGAACAUGUACAAUUGAAGGUCUCUACAUACUCCAUGUCUGGUGUGAACAUGUACAAUUGAAGGUCUCUACAUACUCCAUGUCUGGUGUGAACAUGUACAAUUGAAGGUCUCUACAUACCCCAUGUCUGGUGUGAACAUGUACAAUUGAAGGUCUCUACAUACCCCAUGUCUGAUGUGAACAUGUACAAUUGAAGGUCUCUACAUACCCCAUGUCUGGUGUGAACAUGUACAAUUGAAGGUCUCUGCAUACCCCAUGUCUGGUGUGAACAUGUACAAUUGAAGGUCUCUACAUACCCCAUGUCUGGUGUGAACAUGUAAAAUUGAAGGUCUCUGCAUACCCCAUGUAUGGUGUGAACAUGUACAAUUGAAUGUCUCAUCUUUGAAAUUGGGACACGUGGAAAAUUAGUGACUUGAUUCAGACAGAAAUCGCAUAUUGACAAAUCACAACAAAAAAUGGAAAGCCAGACAGUCUUGUGGCCAGCAAUGUUUUUAUGUGACCAUCCAAGUUGUGUUCAAAGAAAAACAAUAGUUCAUGUUUUAUUGGAACUAUGAUGCUGUCAGUCAUUUUAUGGUGUAGGCUUUAAAUAACUAUAUUUAAAUAUAAUAAGAUAAAGAUUACUUGAUAAAAGCAAUAAUGUAAAAAAGUAUUUUAAGCGCAAAAUUUACAAGUCUAUCCAAUUACUGUGUCUGUAUUAUGACAUUUUAUUUUGGAAAUGUUAAGGAAAAUUUAAUGUUAGUAAAUAUAUGUCUAUGAAUGUUGAUUUUUACAUUUGUCAAAGCUGUUUAAAGGAUGCUGGUAACUUUAACAAAAUUUAAAGAAAUGCAUCAUUUUCAUGUAAUGAGACAUGCUUCAGUUUUUGUGUGUCUUAACUUGUAAUAUAGAGGUGGUAGUUACAAAAAUUGUUUAGCCAGAUGGAGAAUGUUUAUGCUAUGGCUUUGAUACUCUAAAAGUGUGCCCAUUGGUGUCAGGUUUUUAUCAAGAAUAUUGUUUAUUGUCUAACUAUUUCUUGAAAAUAUUGAUUAGUUUUAGACAAAAUCAUUUAAUCUUCCUUAAAUUGUAUAUUCUGUAUUUACGACCAGUUAUUUUUGUUUAUUUUUUAUUUAUUUGCAUGAAUAUGAUUUAAGAAUGACUUUUGUGUUGCUUAAAAUGCUUUGUUUGUUUUGAAACUGAGUAUUUAAAAACGAAAAUAUGAGGUGUAGGAAUAAUGGCCAAAGUUAUGAUAAUUAUAUUUUUUGUUUUUGUAAAGUUUAGUAUGCUUUAUAUGUUUAUGUAUACAUUUAGACGUCCAGAUUAACUUGACCAAUAAUUCGUGAUCACUGUAUAUAUUGGUCAGUACAUUUUUCACUUGUAUAUAGAGCGAUUGCGAAAUGAUUGUAUUUGCAAUGUAAAUCAUGUGUUUAUUGUUGCCAUUUUGAUUUUCGCUGUUAACAUUUAUUUGUAUUAACAAUUUUCAUCAUGUACAUCUUUUAGGUGCCAGAUAAUUAAAAAAAAAACAUCGCUUGUGGGAAUGCUCAUUUGACACUUUCUAAAUGAUACAGAACAACACAUUCUGAAGAGACAAAUAUCCUUUAGACAAUAGGAACAUCUUGUCACUAGUAUAUGUAAUGCCUUUCACUAAAUAAAAUUAAGCAACUAUUGAAAGAUUGGUUUAACUUUAUUUUGCAUUAUCUUAAGAAAAAUUAAUAUAUUCAACUUGGAAAUCGGUCAAUUGCAAAUCAAGCGAGAGUGAUGAAUAUUUGUACGAAAGAUAAAGGGAUGUUUUUGCUUGAAAAAAAGUUGUAUCCCUUGUAAGAUAAUGAUUCUGUUCAUCUCUCAACAUAAGAAGUGCAUUAAUACAGCUUUUAAAAAUAUGACACACUUAAUACUCAGCCAUCAGUUUGUAUUAGGGUUUUUUGGAAUACUUACUUAACUAAUAUACGUCUGUUCAAUGAAUUAAUAGUUAUGGUACAAUAUGAUACUCCUUGUUAAAAAACAUGUGUAAUAAAAAUAUAAUGGCAUUUAUUCGAAAUCAUAAAAUUUAGUUUUCCAUACAAUGCUUACAGCUUUGCAAUUGCGACGAUAAAGUAAAUGUUCUGCUCAAAAUGUCUGUCAAAGACAUGUGUAUAUUGUAGCAAUCAUAUUGUACUAGUAUUUAUAUUAUACAUGAUAAUAAUUGACUUAUGGCUGAUGAUAGCGGCAGUUUACUAGUUGUGUAACAGUUUGUUUCACUCGAUCAUCAGACCAUAUUUCCUUAAACAUUUGAUUUGUUUAUAUUGAACAUUAAUUGAAUGCAUGAAACAUUGUUGUUCUGUUGCUUAAGAGCUAAAAAUAGCUUGAUGUUUGUUAAUUGUGUGAAAUGUUUCAAAUGAAUCAUAUUGAUACAUAGAAAAUAAAAUUACAUUUUGCGUUAAUUUGAAUGCAUAUCAAACAAUUGUUACCAUGCAAGCAUGUUUGUAUUGAACUUAAUUGAUACUUUGAGAUGCAAUUUUUACAAUAAUGUAUAAAUAUUUUCAUCUAUUCCAAAUGAACAUUUUGCAUUCUUAAAUAUAGGGUUUAUAUAUACUUUAUAGAAACUUAUUAAAUGCAUUAUAUAAAUUGAUUGUGUACAUCAUAUUGAUUAAAGACUCUUAUUUAUUGCACAGUUGUGUGUGCAUAUGUCUGACUUAUGUCUUCAUAGUCCUUAAAGUUAAAUUACUGUAAAUAGUAUCAGGGACCUAUACAAACAAUUGUUUGUAUAGGUCCCUGAUAGUAUUUUAAUAAUGUUAAAAUAUUUAUCUAAACUAUAACCUUAAAUUACUGUAAAUAGUAUUUUAAUAAUGUUAAAAUAUUUAUCUAAACUAUAACCAGGUUAUGUGUUAAAUUAAGUGUCAUACAUCUGCAUUGUCUAGCUAAUUGAAGUGUUUAUAUUCUCGCCUACAUGCAGUGUAUGGUUUAGACAAAGCACAUUACACAACUCAUGUUGUUUUAUCCAUCAUUACUAACCAGUGUUUAGUCCGUAGAGGUUAACGUAUACUAAAUAUUUCGGUUGUGCAAUGCUAUGCUCUCUAAAUAAAUCAUUUAACACCAUUUAUUGAUUUUUUAUGUGGGCACUUAAAUUCCCAUGACUUUAUUUGUGAAUAUUUCUUUGAAUGUGCGGUAGGGAAAACAUUGUUUGCUUGAAGGUUUAGAAACUUAAUGUUGACAUCUUGAAAGAUGGCAGAAAACAUUAUACUGCAGAGUAGCUGUGAAAAGAUGUAUGUUGAACAAUGUAAGACAGAACUGCACGCAAGAUAUGUCAUGCAUUCGAUAUGCAUGAACUAUCUUUUUUAAUUAAUUUGGAUCGGAAUUAUCUUUAAGAAAUGGUAUGGUGAUGAGGGUCUCUAUUUGCAAAAUGUUGCAUUUAUUUUGUGUACAAGUUAUUGCUUAAUCAUUGAAUUUGUUAUGGAAAUAAUAUAGUUUAUGUGACUUAAAGAGAUAUACAUGUUUAUGUUAGUGAUGUGUUUUUGCUGAUCCAAGUCUGUUCCUGCACACUAUUUAAAGUAGAUAACUACAAGUUAUCUCAUUUAAAUGGGAAUAGUGUUGUACUGUGGAAAAGUGUUGCGAGUUCAAAUAAAAAUACUAUGAAC